GACGAACGCUGGCGGCGUGCUUAACACAUGCAAGUCGAACGGAAAGGCCCUGCUUUUGUGGGGUGCUCGAGUGGCGAACGGGGGAGUAACACGUGAGUAACCUGCCCUUGACUUUGGGAUAAUUUCAGGAAACUGGGGCUAAUACCGGAUAGGAGCUCCUGCUGCAUGGUGGGGGUUGGAAAGUUUCGGAGGUUGGGGAUGGACUCGCGGCUUAUCAGCUUGUUGGGGGGGUAGUGGCUUACCAAGGCUUUGACGGGUAGCCGGCCUGAGAGGGUGACCGGCCACAUUGGGACUGAGAUACGGCCCAGACUCCUACGGGAGGCAGCAGUGGGGAAUAUUGCACAAUGGGCGGAAGCCUGAUGCAGCAACGCCGCGUGCGGGAUGACGGCCUUCGGGUUGUAAACCGCUUUCGCCUGUGACGAAGCGUGAGUGACGGUAAUGGGUAAAGAAGCACCGGCUAACUACGUG
rnacentral:rRNA from 1 species